UGGGGAAUAUUGGACAAUGGGGGAAACCCUGAUCCAGCGAUGCCGCGUGAGUGAAGAAGGCCUUCGGGUUGUAAAGCUCUUUUGGCAGGGAAGAUAAUGACGGUACCUGCAGAAUAAGCCCCGGCAAACUUCGUGCCAGCAGCCGCGGUAAUACGAAGGGGGCUAGCGUUGUUCGGAAUUACUGGGCGUAAAGGGAGCGUAGGCGGCUCUAUAAGUUGGAUGUGAAAGCCCCGAGCUUAACUUGGGAAUA
rnacentral:rRNA from 1 species